rnacentral:rRNA from 1 species
CAGUCCCGCGGUAAUACAGAGGGUGCGAGCGUUAAUCGGAUUUACUGGGCGUAAAGCGUGCGUAGGCGGCUUCUUAAGUCGGAUGUGAAAUCCCUGAGCUUAACUUAGGAAUUGCAUUCGAUACUGGGAAGCUAGAGUAUGGGAGAGGAUGGUAGAAUUCCAGGUGUAGCGGUGAAAUGCGUAGAGAUCUGGAGGAAUACCGAUGGCGAAGGCAGCCAUCUGGCCUAAUACUGACGCUGAGGUACGAAAGCAUGGGGAGCAAACAGGAUUAGAUACCCCAGUAGUCCCUGUCUCUUAUACA